rnacentral:lncRNA from 1 species
CUGGCAGCUUCCGACGACGGGUCCACAGUGACCACCGCCACCGGUGUUUCCUCGGCAACAGACAGAAGUCUUGUUGGUUGUCUAGGAUUAGAAACGAUAGGUGAAACUGUAAAUCUGAGAGAGGUUUGAGAAAGGUUGGGGUUUAAUUUAAAAGAAUUGGGUAGUUGGGUUUUGAAGGAUUUAGAGGUUGGGUGGCGAUGGAGAUAACUGGUUGAUGAUAUCAUGGCUGAUGAAAUUGUGGCCAUUUUUCAAGAAUCCUAGCAAUUUGUGUUGGGAGACAGAGCAAUGCUGAAAUUAUGGGUAGGGGUUUAUCCAGUUGAGCAAAGAUGAACGAAAACAGAAAGAGGAUAGAUCCUUUAACAAAAAUGUAAAAUCCAACUAUAGGAGGGACUCAUAUUUUAUUUUGAGUAACCUACAGUUUUGGUCCAUACGGUUUUCCUAAAUUUUCACUUUUGGUCCUAUAUUGGCUUUUUCUCAUGGGCGAUUCCUAUUGAGGGUUUUGGUAUCAUCGGUAUACUUUUAAAUAUAACAAUUUUGCCCUUACACUAAAUCAGCAAAAAAAAAAAAAAAAACUACAUGCACCGAUUAUAUGUAAAAAAAACUUUUCAAACUAUAUCUACCGUAACAAAGUUGUCGGGUUAGACAUUUAAGAUAUAAAAAUAAUAUAAAUCAUCGAUCAGGAUUAUAAUUAGUCAUACGUAUUUCAGACUAUGUAUUAUAAAGUUAUUUUAGUAAUUUAUCGAUAAGCGACAAAAUGACAAUCUUGACAAAAGAUUAUUUAUGACAAAUGGUCUUGAAGGAAAUUGUAGCAGUUGCAACAUGAAUCUCAUACACAUAAAACACACUCAAAUUCAACUCAUACAGAAGUUAUAGACGUCUGAAGUUUCACUAUCACACAACAUAUUAUAAAUAGUGAAUUAGAGAUGGAUUGAUUAUUAGUCUAAGUAAUUUAAACAAAAGUCGUAGUAGUCGUAAAUUGUCACACCCCCGAACCAGACGGCGGAAACGUCUGGGGGCUUGUGUGUGACUUCAUCUUGAUAUAUCAUUAUAGUGAAUAUAAAUGAAACAUAACAUCAUCAUUAUCAUGCAUAAUAUAAUACAACUGUCAUUUUUACAUCAUGUACAAUCUUUUAAAUAACAUGCCCAAAACAUUCAAUGUAUGAUGUUUAACAGUACACAAAACAAAAUCCGCUAUUCUUGUUGAUUCUUCUGCUUAACGAGUCCCUGAGAAUACAAGUUAAUUUGAAAACGUCAACAUACAUAAUGUUGGUGAGUUCAUAAGUAUAUUUGAGAAAAUGAUUUAUAUAACUUUGUAAUCAUAAGAAAAUCCUGUAUUUUCUUAAAAUAGUUUGGUAUGUUUAUGUCUAGUCUUGUAUUAAUGCGUGUGUGUUAUUGUUUAAUAGAAUGUCAAAAGUGAUUGAAGAGAAUGUAAAUAGAAUGUCCCCGGGCAACCCAAUAUUGCCCAUAAAAGAAGAAUAGAUAAUGUUGUCGUACCAACACCGAGGUUGAGUACCAAUGUGAGUAAGUUUCCGAGUAAUCCAAUCAUAAAAGAAAAUAGAUAAUGUUGUCGUACCGACACCGAGGUGGGGGUACCAGUGUGAGUAAGUUUCCGAGUAAUCCAACAUAAAAGAAAAUAGUCUUCCGCAAACUUCAUAACGUUAAUUCCUUUAAGUGAGCCGUCAUAACCAUACUAAAUAAUGACAAUUUCGUCUGUCUUGGCAUUAGUGAACGACGACUGAAAAAUAGAAUAAGGUUAUAGUCACCCUAGACCGAUGUAGUCUAACUGUAGCGAACAACUCAGGUGUAGGGUGUCAUCCCCGUAUAGAUCUAUACACAAAACCCCGCUCUCCCCUCCAAGAGACUCUGAUUAUAACUACAGGCUAGGACCGAACACUUAAUAGGUGUCAACCGAAAAAACUC